UACGUAGGGUGCAAGCGUUAAUCGGAAUUACUGGGCGUAAAGCGUGCGCAGGCGGUUUUGUAAGUCUGAUGUGAAAUCCCCGGGCUCAACCUGGGAAUUGCAUUGGAGACUGCAAGGCUAGAAUCUGGCAGAGGGGGGUAGAAUUCCACGUGUAGCAGUGAAAUGCGUAGAGAUGUGGAGGAACACCGAUGGCGAAGGCAGCCCCCUGGGUCAAGAUUGACGCUAAUGCACGAAAGCGUGGGGAGCAAACAGG
rnacentral:rRNA from 1 species